CGGUGGAGCAUGUGGUUCAAUUCGACGCAACGCGAAGAACCCUACCUGGGCUCGAACGGCUCACGAAAUCCCUGGAAACAGCUCCCUACGGGGCGAGGUGUGACGAGCGCAACCCUUGUCCUGUGUUGCCAUCGGGAUGUCAAGUCUCAUGGCCUUUAUGUCCAGGCUACAUACAUGGCCGGUACAUGCGCUGCUAAGUCGCAAGACGGAGCCUCGCAAAAAACCGGUCUCAGUUCGGAUUGCAGUGCAACUCGCCUGCAUGAAGCUGGAAUCGCUAGUAAUGGAUAUCAGAACGAUGCCGUGAAUACGUUCCCGGGCCUUGUACACACCGCCGUCACAUCACGAAAGUGGAUUGUACUAGAAGUCCGCAGGCUGACCCGCAAGGGGAGCAGCGGCCCAAGUAUGAUUCAUGAUUGGGGUGAAGUCGUACAAGGU
rnacentral:rRNA from 1 species